UGAGCAAAGUCAUGGGAGAAAUGCAUCUUAAAUCUAGCAGGCCUGUACCACAACCACCAAGUUCAGUAGAAGGGCAUGACACUUUUUCAAUAUCAUUACAACUUGUCUCCUCAGGCAAUGUUAACAUAGGAGGGCAUGACACUUUUUCAAUAUCAUUACAACUUGUCUUCUCAGGCAAUGUUAACGUAGGAGGGCAUGACACUUUUUCAAUAUCAUUACAACUUGUCUCCUCAGGCAAUGUUAACGUAGGAGGGCAUGACACUUUUUCAAUAUCAUUACAACUUGUCUCCUCAGGCAAUGUUAACGCAGGA
rnacentral:lncRNA from 1 species